rnacentral:lncRNA from 1 species
CUCUUCUCCGACUCCGCCAUCCUCUCCCCCUACGCCACCGCGCCGGACGAUAUCGUGCGGGGGUUCGCGUCCGCCGCCGAGCUGCCCGACCCUCUCUGGCGCGCCGGGGUCGACCCGCCGCUGAUGCCCGUCUCCGCCGACCUGGCCGCGGACGCUCUGCUCGGCGCGGUCACCGACGAUGCCGCGCAGCAGGCCCUGAUGGACGCGGACAUGCCCACCACGUUCCCAGCCGACGCGACCGGCGUCGAGGAGUCCGUGGCCCGGUUCAUCGACAAGCUCAGCAAGCAGAUAUUCCAGGCGGAGGACGCGCUCACCGAAGGGUACGACAAGCUCAGGCUGUCGGCGUACGACGCCCUCGGGGCCUACAGGAGGGCGAUAAGGGG